UACAGAGGGUGCAAGCGUUGUUCGGAAUUACUGGGCGUAAAGCGAGUGUAUGGCGGGCGCUUAAGUCCGACGUGAAAUCUCCCCGGCUUAACUGGGAGGGGUCGUCGGAUACUGGGUGUCUUGAGUGGGGUAGGGGGCAGCGGAAUUCCCGGUGUAGCGGUGAAAUGACGUAGAUAUCGGGAGGAACACCUAUGGCGAAAGCAGCUGCCUGGGCCUUUACUGACGC
rnacentral:rRNA from 1 species